GACGGGGCCCGCACAAGCGGUGGAGCAUGUGGUUUAAUUCGAUGAUACGCGAGGAACCUUACCUGGGCUCAAAUGUAUGUUGACGUAUUCUGAAAGGGAUACUUCUUCGGACAAUAUACAAGGUGCUGCAUGGUUGUCGUCAGCUCGUGCCGUGAGGUGUCGGGUUAAGUCCCCAUAACGAGCGCAACCCCUAUCAUUAGUUGCCAUCAGGUCAAGCUGGGGACUCUAAUGAAACUGCCUACGCAAGUAGUGAGGAAGGUGGGGAUGACGUCAAAUCAGCACGGCCCUUAUGUCCUGGGCUACACACGUGCUACAAUGGCCGGUACAGAGCGCAGCGAGGCCGCGAGGCGGAGCGAAUCGCUUAAAGCCGGUCCCAGUACGGAUUGGAGUCUGCAACCCGACUCCAUGAAGUUGGAAUCGCUAGUAAUCGCGCAUCAGCAUGGCGCGGUGAAUACGUUCCCGGGCCUU
rnacentral:rRNA from 1 species